rnacentral:rRNA from 1 species
GGUUAAGUUAGUAAGGGCGCACGGUGGAUGCCUUGGCACUAGGAGCCGAWGAAGGACGUGACAAACGACGAAAUGCCUCGGGGAGCUGUAAGUAAGCACUUGAUCCGGGGRUGUCCGAAUGGGGGAACCCAACAGGUUGAUGCCUGUUACCCAUUUCUGUUAAGGGAAUGAGGAGGAAGACGCAGUGAACUGAAACAUCUAAGUAGCUGCAGGAAGAGAAAGCAAAAGCGAUUGCCUUAGUAGCGGCGAGCGAAGAGGCAGGAGGGCAAACCGAAGAGUUUACUCUUCGGGGUUGUAGGACUGCAAUGUGGACUCAGAAUUUAUAGAAGAAUGACUUGGGAAAGUCAGCCARAGAGAGUAAGAGCCUCGUAUUUUAAAUAGAUUCUGUACCUAGCAGUAUCCUGAGUACGGCGGGACACGUGAAAUCCCGUCGGAAUCUGGGAGGACCAUCUCCCAACCCUAAAUACUCCCUAGUGACCGAUAGUGAACCAGUACCGUGAGGGAAAGGUGAAAAGCACCCCGGGAGGGGAGUGAAAUAGAACCUGAAACCGUGUGCCUACAACAAGUUCGAGCCCGUUCAUGGGUGAGAGCGUGCCUUUUGUAGAAUGAACCGGCGAGUUACGUUAUGAUGCGAGGUUAAGUUGAAGAGACGGAGCCGUAGGGAAACCGAGUCUGAAUAGGGCGYUUUAGUAUCAUGAUGUAGACCCGAAACCAUGUGACCUACCCAUGAGCAGGUUGAAGGUGCGGUAAAACGCACUGGAGGACCGAACCAGGGCACGUUGAAAAGUGCUUGGAUGACUUGUGGGUAGCGGAGAAAUUCCAAACGAACUUGGAGAUAGCUGGUUCUCUCCGAAAUAGCUUUAGGGCUAGCGUCGACAUGAAGAUUCUUGGAGGUAGAGCACUGUUUGGGUGAGGGGUCCAUCCCGGAUUACCAAUCUCAGAUAAACUCCGAAUGCCAAUGAAUUAUGGUCGGCAGUCAGACUGCGAGUGCUAAGAUCCGUAGUCGAAAGGGAAACAGCCCAGACCACCAGCUAAGGUCCCAAAAUAAUUGUUAAGUGGAAAAGGAUGUGGGGUUGCACAGACAACUAGGAUGUUAGCUUAGAAGCAGCUAUUCAUUCAAAGAGUGCGUAAUAGCUCACUAGUCGAGUGACCCUGCGCCGAAAAUGUACCGGGGCUAAAACAAUUUACCGAAGCUGUGGAUACCUUUUAUAGGUAUGGUAGGAGAGCGUUCUAUGUGUGGAGAAGGUGUACCGUGAGGAGCGCUGGAACGCAUAGAAGUGAGAAUGCCGGUAUGAGUAGCGCAAGACAGGUGAGAAUCCUGUCCACCGUAAGACUAAGGUUUCCAGGGGAAGGCUCGUCCGCCCUGGGUUAGUCGGGACCUAAGGAGAGACCGAAAGGUGUAUCCGAUGGCCAACAGGUUGAGAUUCCUGUACUAGAGUAUGAAGUGAUGGAGGGACGCAGUAGGCUAACUCGUGCGUACGAAUGGAUGUACGUCUAAGCAGU